GCUCUGUGAGGAGGGCAUGAAGUGCAGGGCACAGCGGCUGCCCUGCCAUCUCCUCUUCCCGCUGGGAAGCACCGGCCACGAGGACGCUGUGGCCACCAGGUGGCGCUGUGGGCCAGGCUGUGCUGGCCAGGCUGCUGAGGGCAGGAGCCUGGAGCUGGCCCCUGGCUGAGAACCACAGGCCACGAGGACGCUGUGGCCACCAGGUGGCGCUGUGGGUCAGGCUGUGCUGGCCAGGCUGCUGAGGGCAGGAGCCUGGAGCUGGCCCCUGGCUGAGAACCACAGGCCACGAGGACGCUGUGGCCACCAGGUGGCGCUGUGGGUCAGGCUGCUGAGGGCAGGAGCCCAGUGGGCCCGGGGAUCUCCCUGGAGGGCCGGGGCAGUGUGGGGACGGGGGUGGCCACCAGGGACACACGGGACUCAAGUCCAAGUCCCCUAAAGUGCCAGCGACCCUGAGUGGGUCUCUGCCCCUUUGUGCUCCUGGGGUCACUCAGGGACUACACGCUGCAAAGACAAAUGUAUUUUGGUGCAAAAGAACCGGAAUCUGUGCAUAGUAUUUUUUUUAACAAUAUCCAUUUUCCAUAAACUCUGAAGACCUCAACGCAUGUGUGAAUCUUUUCUUGUCAAAAUAAACUCAGCUUUUGAUUCCA